rnacentral:misc_RNA from 1 species
CAACCCUCAAGCACUGCUUGGUGUUGGGCCCCGCCCGUCGCGGCCGGCCCCAAAGUCAGUGGCGGCGCCGUCUGGCUCUAAGCGUAGUACACCUCUCGCUCUGGAGUCCUGCGGUAGCUCGCCAGAACCCCAAAUCUUAU